rnacentral:tRNA from 1 species
CCGACCUUAGCUCAGUUGGUAGAGCGGAGGACUGUAGUCGGUGCAGAUAAUCCUUAGGUCGCUGGUUCGAAUCCGGCAGGUCGGA